rnacentral:rRNA from 1 species
UCGAACGCGAAAGCCCCGCAAGGGGUUAGUAGAGUGGCAAACGGGUGAGUAACACGUGGGUGAUCUGCCUCAGAGUGGGGGAUAACGACCCGAAAGGGUCGCUAAUACCGCAUAACAUCCUGCGCUUGGAUGCGUGGAGAUCAAAGUUGGGGAUUCGCAAGAACCUGACGCUUAGAGAGGAGCCCGCGGCCGAUUAGCUAGUUGGUGAGGUAAUGGCUCACCAAGGCUCCGAUCGGUAUCCGGCCUGAGAGGGCGGACGGACACACUGGGACUGAGACACGGCCCAGACUCCUACGGGAGGCAGCAGUGGGGAAUUGUUCGCAAUGGGCGCAAGCCUGACGACGCAACGCCGCGUGGAGGACGAAGAUUUUCGGAUCGUAAACUCCUUUCGAUCGGGAAGAACAGCUCUCGGGUUAAUAACCUGAGGGUCUGACGGUACCGAGAGAAGAAGCCCCGGCUAACUCCGUGCCAGCAGCCGCGGUAAUACGGGGGGGGCAAGCGUUGUUCGGAAUUACUGGGCGUAAAGGGCUGGUAGGCGGCCAACUAAGUCCGACGUGAAAUCCCAAGGCUUAACCUCGGAACUGCGUCGGAUACUGGAUGGCUUGAAUUCGGGAGAGGGAUGCAGAAUUCCAGGUGUAGCGGUGAAAUGCGUAGAUAUCUGGAGGAAUACCGGUGGCGAAGGCGGCAUCCUGGACCGACAUUGACGCUGAACAGCGAAAGCUAGGGGAGCAAACGGGA